rnacentral:rRNA from 1 species
UAGGGAAUCUUCCGCAAUGGACGCAAGUCUGACGGAGCAACGCCGCGUGAGUGAAGAAGGAUUUCGGUUCGAAAAACUCUGUUGUUAAAGAAGAACAGCGCAUAGAGUAACUGUUAUGCGUGUGACGGUAUCUAACCAGAAAGCCACGGCUAACUACGUGCCAGCAGCCGCGGUAAUACGUAGGUGGCAAGCGUUGUCCGGAUUUAUUGGGCGUAAAGCGAGCGCAGGCGGUCAAUUAAGUCUGAUGUGAAAGCCCCCGGCUCAACCGGGGAGGGUCAUUGGAAACUGGUUGACUUGAGUGCAGAAGAGGAGGGUGGAAUUCCAUGUGUAGCGGUGAAAUGCGUAGAUAUAUGGAGGAACACCAGUGGCGAAGGCGACUCUCUGGUCUGUAACUGACGCUGAGGCUCGAAAGCGUGGGUAGCAAACAGG